CCUACGGGUGGCAGCAGUGAGGAAUAUUGGUCAAUGGACGAGAGUCUGAACCAGCCAAGUAGCGUGAAGGAUGACUGCCCUAUGGGUUGUAAACUUCUUUUAUAUGGGAAUAAAAUGUUCCACGUGUGGGAGUUUGUAUGUAACAUAUGAAUAAGGAACGGCUAACUUCGGGCCAGCAGCCGCGGUAAUACGGAGGAAUCGAGCGUUAUCCGGAUUUAUUGGGUUUAAAGGGAGCGUAGGUGGAUUGUUAAGUCAGUUGUGAAAGUUUGCGGCUCAACCGUAAACUGGCAGUUGAAACUGGCAGUCUUGAGUACAGUAGAGGUGGGCGGAAUGCGUGGUGUAGCGGUGAAAUGCUUAGAUAUCACGAAGAACUUCGAUUGCGAAGGCAGUUCACUGGACUGCAACUGACACUGAGGCUCGAAAGUGUGGGUAUCAAACAGGAUUAGAUACCCUAGUAGUC
rnacentral:rRNA from 1 species